rnacentral:rRNA from 1 species
AACGAACGCUGGCGGCAUGCCUAACACAUGCAAGUCGAACGAAGGCUUCGGCCUUAGUGGCGCACGGGUGCGUAACGCGUGGGAAUCUGCCCUUUGGUUCGGAAUAACAGCUGGAAACGGCUGCUAAUACCGGAUGAUGACUAAAGUCCAAAGAUUUAUCGCCAGAGGAUGAGCCCGCGUUGGAUUAGGUAGUUGGUGGGGUAAAGGCCUACCAAGCCGACGAUCCAUAGCUGGUCUGAGAGGAUGAUCAGCCACACUGGGACUGAGACACGGCCCAGACUCCUACGGGAGGGAGCAGUGGGGAAUAUUGGACAAUGGGCGCAAGCCUGAUCCAGCAAUGCCGCGUGAGUGAUGCAGGCGCUAGGGUUGUAAAGCCCUUUUACACGGGAAGAUAAUGACUGUACCGGGAGAAUAAGCCCCGGCUAACUCCGUG